UACAGAGGGGGCAAGCGUUAUUCGGAAUUAUUGGGCGUAAAGGGCGCGUAGGCGGCCUGGCAAGUGGAAGGUGAAAUCCCUCGGCUUAACCGAGGAACUGCCCUCCAAACUGCUUGGCUUGAGUCCGGGAGAGGUGAGUGGAAUUCCCAGUGUAGCGGUGAAAUGCGUAGAUAUUGGGAGGAACACCAAUAGCGAAGGCAGCUCGCUGGGACGGUACUGACGCUCAGGCGCGAAAGCGUGGGGAGCAAACAGG
rnacentral:rRNA from 1 species